UAUGACGAUAUCGCGUCGAAACACCGGUUCUCGUACGAUCAGUGGAGUUAAGCAACAUCGAACCUGGCCAGUACCUAGAUGGGUCACUGCUUGAGAAUAUUACAUGCUGUAAG